GAAAAGCUCAGUGGCAGAGUACAUGCACUGCAUGCAGGUGGUUCAGGUUCAAACCCUGAUAUCUCCA